rnacentral:tRNA from 2 species
GUUUCGUUGGUGCAGUGGUAGCAUGCCCUCUUAGGGUUCUGGCGUUCUCUCGCUUCAGAGCUUUGGGGGUGGUCCUCGGUUCAAUCCCGGGACGAGACC